UUGGUUGGAUGAUUCUCAUGGAAGCACUUUUGUGCAAUCGGUUGUGACAAUCGCAAACAUUUUCGCCAUGAUUUUUGUGACUUUAGCCUGUGGAUAUCAAGGAUUCAAGAGCGGAUGGCCUGGCUAUAAACUUUCUACAGGAUACUUCCCGUAUGGAGUAGACGGGAUGCUUGCGGGCACUUCGACAGGCUUCUUUUCAUAUAUAGAGUUUGAUUCAGUUGCCAGUACAGCAGAAGAGGUGAAAAAUCCUCAAAGGGAUUUACCUCUAUGAAGUGGGGCUGCAUUAUCUAUUUGCUACUUGUUAUACAUGUUAGUCUCCGCGGUUAUUGUUGGUUUAGUACCUUAUUAUGCAAUGGAUCCCGACACCCCUAUUUCUUCUGCAUUUGCU